rnacentral:rRNA from 1 species
UACGUAGGGUGCAAGCGUUGUCCGGAAUUAUUGGGCGUAAAGAGCGUGUAGGCGGCCUUACAGGUCAGCUGUGAAAACUCGAGGCUCAACCUCGAGAGGUCGGUUGAAACCGUAAGGCUAGAGUCCGGAAGAGGAGAGUGGAAUUCCCGGUGUAGCGGUGAAAUGCGCAGAUAUCGGGAAGAACACCCGUGGCGAAGGCGGCUCUCUGGGACGGUACUGACGCUGAGACGCGAAAGCGUGGGGAGCGAACAGG